rnacentral:rRNA from 1 species
UACGAAGGGGGCUAGCGUUGCUCGGAUUUACUGGGCGUAAAGGGCGCGUAGGCGGCGCGGUAAGUCACUUGUGAAAUCUCUGAGCUUAACUCAGAACGGCCAAGUGAUACUGCAGUGCUAGAGUGUGGAAGGGGCAAUCGGGAAUUCUUGGUGUAGCGGUGAAAUGCGUAGAUAUCAAGAGGAACACCUGAGGUGAAGACGGGUUGCUGGGCCAACACUGACGCUGAGGCGCGAAAGCCAGGGGAGCAAACGGG